AGUGAACGCUGGCGGCAGGCCUAACACAUGCAAGUCGAACGGCAGCACAGUGCUUGCUUGUUGUUCCGGGUGGGGAGUGGGGGGCGGGUCAGGAGAAUAUCCGAGUCUACUUUUUGGAAGGGCUUAAGGCAGGGGCACUUACGACAUUACAGCAUACGCAGUACGGGGGAGAGCGUGGGACCUUCGGCCCUCGCGGGAUUGGAUGUGCGGAUGUCGAGUUUGUUAGUUGGGGGGGUACAGGCCCACCCAGGCGACGAUCCGUAGCUGGUCUGAGAGGAUGAUCAGCCACACUGGAACUGAGACACGGUCAAGACUCCUACGGGAGGCAGCAGUGGGGAAUAUUGGACAAUGGGCGGAAGCCUGAUCCAGCCAUGCCGCGUGUGUGAAGAAGGCCUUCGGUUUGUAAAGCCCUUUUGUUGGGAAAGAAGGGCAGUAGGUUAAUACCCCGCUGUUCUGACGUUACCCAGAGAAUAAGCACCGGCUAACUUCGUG
rnacentral:rRNA from 1 species